AUACGGAGGGGGCUAGCGUUGUUCGGAAUUACUGGGCGUAAAGCGCGCGUAGGCGGAUUGACAAGUUGGAGGUGAAAUCCCGGGGCUCAACCCCGGAACUGCCUUCAAAACUGUCAGUCUUGAGUUCGGAAGAGGUGAGUGGAAUUCCUAGUGUAGAGGUGAAAUUCGUAGAUAUUAGGAAGAACACCAGUGGCGAAGGCGACUCACUGGUCCGAUACUGACGCUGAGGUGCGAAAGCGUGGGGAGCAAACAGGAUUAGAUACCCUUGUAGUCC
rnacentral:rRNA from 1 species